GUGGCCUUAGCUCAGUUGGUAGAGCGCCUGACUGUUAAUCAGGUUGUCGCUGGUUCGAGUCCAGCAGGCUUCG
rnacentral:tRNA from 1 species